UCCCUUGUGGCUCAGCUGGUAAAGAAUCUGCCUGCAAUGCAGGAAACCUGGGUUCGAUCCCUGGUUUGGGAU
rnacentral:tRNA from 1 species